AAUAAUAAUAUUACUAUCACAAUUAAUUUUUUAAUUUACAUUUAAAUAUUUGUUUUUAUAUCCCGUGUCUGCAGAACACAAAUUACUCAUGAUUGUCUAUGCAUCUAUAAAGCGAGCAAGAUAAUCCAUAAAUUUGAUAGUAUAACUAGCUAAACAUAUACGUGAUGAAAUGUAAAUAUCUCUCUAGUCAAUUCUUCUUCUAUUUCUUACUUUUUCUCUGUCUUCAAUUUGAUGGAGAUGAUCCAUUUGGUAUCAUCGGUAUCAAAGAAGUAAACAAAAACUAUAAAAUGGCCCCUCUCAUGUGUUGUUCGUGAACUCCCUCUCCAUAUGCCCUUUUCAACCAACAACACAAACCGGUAAAAGCAGCGUUAGGAUUGCUACUAUGCAACGUAUGUGGGUCCUCUUCCUGUUAACAACCACGUCAUUUUGGUCAAUUCAGCGCAAGAUCAAAUUGGUGCUUCUUCUAGUUUUUAUUUUGUGCAUGGAGACCUAUACCCUCUCUUUCCAUCAAUACUUGGACACAGACAUUGCAAGCUGGCCACUUCGUAGUCUCAUAAUAAUCAUUUUGGAAGAUGUCAAUUAAUGAAGAUCAAAAUAUGAUAAUGAGAGGAAUAAUAGAAAACAAUAUAAAGCUUAUAUGACG
rnacentral:lncRNA from 1 species